AUUGAACGCUGGCGGCAUGCUUUACACAUGCAAGUCGAACGGUAACAGGCCGCAAGGUGCUGACGAGUGGCGAACGGGUGAGUAAUGCAUCGGAACGUGCCCAGUCGUGGGGGAUAACGCAGCGAAAGCUGUGCUAAUACCGCAUACGAUCUGGGGAUGAAAGCGGGGGACCGAAAGGCCUCGCGCGAUUGGAGCGGCCGAUGUCAGAUUAGGUAGUUGGUGGGGUAAAGGCUCACCAAGCCAACGAUCUGUAGCUGGUCUGAGAGGACGACCAGCCACACUGGGACUGAGACACGGCCCAGACUCCUACGGGAGGCAGCAGUGGGGAAUUUUGGACAAUGGGCGCAAGCCUGAUCCAGCAAUGCCGCGUGCAGGAAGAAGGCCUUCGGGUUGUAAACUGCUUGUGUACGGAGCGAAAAGGCUCUCUCUAAUACAGGGGGCUCAUGACGGUACCGUAAGAAUAAGCACCGGCUAACUACGUGCCAGCCGCCGCAGUAAAAC
rnacentral:rRNA from 1 species